AACACGCCGACGUUUCAUAGCAAGCUGAGAUUGUGCGACUGCUGCGAUCGAUCGCGAGAGUCAGAAACACGAGCGAUGUAUACCUAUAUGCAGCGUAGAGACAAGACUCCUUGUCGACACCAUUAUGUUACAAAUGAAAGAAUAUUUCCGAGCAAUAGUUUUGUUCCUUUCAACAGGAGGUGAAACGGAAAUCCAUUGAACAGAUCGAUAAACAAAGUUUUUAAAAUAUGAAACUUUGUGGUAGACGGUGCUGCCACGAGUACUUUCAAAUCGAUAGCGCGGGAGACAUUUUCACAAGAUUAUCGAUUAUAUGCUUGUUUUGUGAAAUUAUAAACUUCGAUCAACAAUUUUGCAAAGUUAUCACGUGCAUUUCGUAUUUUAUAUAAUUUAAUUCUAUCAAAUUCGUACAAACAUGGUAUAAUAUAUCUUGAAUAAUUAUUCGGUGUAUAUUAUAUAUACGUCUAUAUUUAUUCACCAUGUUUAUUGAAUCGUUAAAAAAAUUGAAUCACGUUUUAUAAAACUAUUUUUACUGUAUCUAUUCGGUAUUGAAUAGCAUAACAAUACAAAUAAUUCGUGAAAUAUAAAAUGUUUAUUUUCGAGUGAAAGUUUACAACUUUGCAUCAACAACUUCUAUUAUCAUUAUUGUAUUAUAUAAACGUUUAUAUUUACAACAUAUAUUAAAAAGUCAUAAUAUUAUGUAAUUUGUUGGAUUCAAUAAUAUUUGACACUUGUUAAUUCUCUUUCAUACAUUCUACACUUCGUCAUUUGUACCUGAGUGGACUACUUUCUUUUUGUCUGCUGUACAUUUUUCUAUUUGCCAUUCUUAAGCUAGAAGUUUCAAUUAUUUAGGAUUUCAUUCGAAUACAUAGCACCAUAUAGACUGUUAAAUAAACAAAGUAACUAUUUAUAAUUUU